UCGCUCUUAUUUGUUUCUCUUGUUCUAUUAGGCUGGAUUAUUAAUGCUGUUAAUAUCGAUCCAGACUGUACAUCGGACGCAGUAAAAAAUUGGCCUUUUUAUGUUGGUGGGUACCUGGAAUGAUGCAACAUGCUUCAGGACAAGGCCAUCAUCUAAGAAGCUUCAUCUGCGGAAAACAUGAACAUUGAGGCCCGGGUCCAUAAAAAGAGUAAAAGUCAUCUUGUAGUGGACGGUUUCCUUCUCGUCUCUCAGCUUGAAGGUGAAGAAGCGGACGAGGACCGCUGCAAAGAUCUUCAUUUGACGGUAGGCGAACUCCUUCCCCAGGCAUAUCCGAGGACCCGCCUGCGUCCGAAUGAUGCCGAAGUUACUAAAUACCGUCCACAUCGAAGAAGAUGAAGACGACGAAGACGGGGAAAAAUUUCGGGGAUUCAGCCUUCAUUUCCUACUUCAUCGUCUUCUUCUUCCUCACCUGAAAGGCCGUGAAUUUGAAGGGGUUCUCCGGACGAAAGCUCCCAUCUGCAUCGAACCAUCUUUCAGGCCGGAAGAUCUCCGCGUCCUCGCCCCAUAAGUACUUCAUUCUCCCCAUGGCGUACGGCUGGUAUAUGAUGACUUCCCCCGCUUUCACGUCGUACCCGUCAGGCAACUCGUCGUCUGAGAAGCAGAUCUUCCCAUCCUGCAAAUUGUGAUCAGAAGGACCGCCGCCAUCUGUAAGAGGCGAUCGUUUGAUCGGAGAUGCCACCGGAGUUCUUAAUGGCUUACCGCCGGAACAGCGGGAUAAAGGCGCAGGGUCUCGGAUAUAGCCGCAUGUAGGUACGUCAUCUUCGCCAGCGAUCCCUCAGUUACUUUUGUCGCGAAUUCUUCCAUGGACUCGCUGCCUUUGGCGCCCACUGCCUCGUUAACUUCUUCGAAUAUCUUCUGUUCCACACGGGGAUGCCUGCAGAGAAGGUAGAUGAACCAGGACAGGGUGCCCGCCGUCGUGUCCUUGCCAGCGAUGAGGAAGCUGAGGAUUAUGUCUCUCAGAUACCGAUCAUUCAUGUUCUCGGGAUCCUUCGGUCUCUCGUUAAGAAACCUCGACAGGAUGUCUUGCUUAUCUACCUGCGGGAGCAGGAAAUUAAUCAAACACCCCACGGACAUCGGCAAUUUGUAGCGGUUUCUGCACAGAGUCUCACCUUC
rnacentral:lncRNA from 1 species